UAGGGAAUCUUCGGCAAUGGACGAAAGUCUGACCGAGCAACGCCGCGUGAGUGAAGAAGGUUUUCGGAUCGUAAAACUCUGUUGUUAGAGAAGAACAAGGACGUUAGUAACUGAACGUCCCCUGACGGUAUCUAACCAGAAAGCCACGGCUAACUACGUGCCAGCAGCCGCGGUAAUACGUAGGUGGCAAGCGUGGUCCGGAUUUAUUGGGCGUAAAGCGAGCGCAGGCGGUUUCUUAAGUCUGAUGUGAAAGCCCCCGGCUCAACCGGGGAGGGUCAUUGGAAACUGGGAGACUUGAGUGCAGAAGAGGAGAGUGGAAUUCCAUGUGUAGCGGUGAAAUGCGUAGAUAUAUGGAGGAACACCAGUGGCGAAGGCGGCUCUCUGGUCUGUAACUGACGCUGAGGCUAGAAAGCGUGGGGAGCAAACAGG
rnacentral:rRNA from 1 species